rnacentral:snRNA from 1 species
CCGAGGCGUGAUUAUUGCUAGUUGAAAACUUUUCCCAAUACCCCGCCAUGAUGGCUUGAAACAUAGUCAGCAUGGGCAAUUUUUGACGGUCUCCUGUGGGA